GAUGGCAGUACAGCAGAUCACACUCAAGACGUGCCGAGACAUGAAUUACCAUUUCUACCACAUGGGAAAGUUACAACAUCCUUCGAUGAAAAUGGACUAGACGAUACUGAUAAUAAUAAUGGUUUUAUGCAAAAUGGCAGUACGGCAGAUCACUGGACGCAUGCUGAGACAUGAAUUAACGUUUCUACCACAUGGGAAAGUUACAACAUGCUACGAUGAAAAUGGACUAGACGAUACUGAUAAUAAUAAUGGUUUUAUGCAAUAUGGACGUAUAUCAUAUCACUCAAGGCAUGCUGAUACAUGAAUUCACAUUUCUACCAGUUAGGAAAGUACCAACAUCCUAUGCUGAAAGUGGACUAGAAGAUAAUGAUAAUGAUAUUGGACUUGUGCAAUAUGGCAGUACAGCAGAUCACUCAAGACGUGCCGAGACAUGAAUUACCAUUUCUACCACAUGGGAAAGUUACAACAUCCUUCGAUGAAAAUGGACUAGACGAUACUGAUAAUAAUAAUGGUUUUAUGCAAAAUGGCAGUACGGCAGAUCACUGGACGCAUGCUGAGACAUGAAUUAACGUUUCUACCACAUGGGAAAGUUACAACAUGCUACGAUGAAAAUGGACUAGACGAUACUGAUAAUAAUAAUGGUUUUAUGCAAUAUGGACGUAUAUCAUAUCACUCAAGGCAUGCUGAUACAUGAAUUCACAUUUCUACCAGUUAGGAAAGUACCAACAUCCUAUGCUGAAAGUGGACUAGAAGAUAAUGAUAAUGAUAUUGGACUUGUGCAAUAUGGCAGUACAGCAGAUCACUCAAGACGUGCCGAGACAUGAAUUACCAUUUCUACCACAUGGGAAAGUUACAACAUCCUUCGAUGAAAAUGGACUAGACGAUACUGAUAAUAAUAAUGGUUUUAUGCAAAAUGGCAGUACGGCAGAUCACUGGACGCAUGCUGAGACAUGAAUUAACGUUUCUACCACAUGGGAAAGUUACAACAUGCUACGAUGAAAAUGGACUAGACGAUACUGAUAAUAAUAAUGGUUUUAUGCAAUAUGGACGUAUAUCAUAUCACUCAAGGCAUGCUGAUACAUGAAUUCACAUUUCUACCAGUUAGGAAAGUACCAACAUCCUAUGCUGAAAGUGGACUAGAAGAUAAUGAUAAUGAUAUUGGACUUGUGCAAUGUGCGUGUAAUGGUUAUUGAAUAUAAUUGAUAGUAAAUUAAUUGCAGUGAAACAAUUGAGAUUUGUUAAACAUCUGAAUAAAAUAUUAAUAAACACCUUUA